rnacentral:sRNA from 1 species
CGCAUGUAUGUCACAUUCGCUUAACACCCGUGAUGUAGCAGUUGGUGUAUAACGUGGU